rnacentral:lncRNA from 10 species
UGUUUGCGCAGGUCCGAAGAGCGCACGAAGGCCUUCCCGCAGUCUGGACACGGUGCCUGGAAUGUGUGAGACGGAUCCUGCCCUUUCCUUCACCAAGCCACCUAGCAGAACCCAUGCCAUCCAGGGCAUCUGCGAGAGAAACACCUCUCCCAGCCUCCCCUGAGCAGCCCACUAGCGCUGUGGAUUCCAGAUCCUGAAACUGCAUCUUGCACUCGGUGUCCUGAGCCCAGCUGAAGUGGCAGGAGCACCACUGACUCCAGAACAGACUUGUAAAGAAAGAAGGUAUCUCCCAAGUCAGCCACAGAGGCUCAUGGUUUCCUGCUCCAUCUAGUCCUGGGUGUUUGCUUAAAUGGGCACUGGCUGACAUGACUGAAACCUCAUGCAUCCAUCACACAUUCACCCUCAACAAAGACACAGCCCCUCCUUUAAGGCCUGUGCUCCCUGUACAUACACAGUGCCCUGCAGCACAGAGAAACCACAUGAAUGGCCUUCUUGGCUCAAGGAGUCAGGGAGUAGGGGCCUGCUGAGCAUGACCAUGUCCAGAGAGUGGGGACCCCAAGAACUGUAACAGCCCAUUGGACAGAUGUGGGCAGGAAUGGGGACAAAAUCACCCACAGUCUCAGACCCCAAAUGAGGUGUGAAUAUGAAAUCCAUGAAAACCUCAUGUGGAGGCCAAAAGACUAACUAGAUUCCCAUCUCAUCUCUCCAGGCCAGAAGCCUAUUAUCCAAUCCUUCCUCUCAUUGCAAGCCCCAGAAGUAACAGCAAUUACAAAAUAAAGAAAAAUAAGAACUUGUCAGCUCCAAUUUUGGGGUUUGAAUGUGGUCUCUGGGGAAUGAUCAGACGGUGGAAGCAGCUGUGGGCAGGGACUCCUCAUGCAGCGAUGACUACUCACUAACCCAGGGCAUGCAUUCGAGUGAACUGACAGACAAAGGCUGGGAGCUGGAAACUUCUGAAGGCUCAUUCACUUGCAUGUCUGUCAUGAAGCUUCAGGGCAGCUCCAGCUGAUGCCAGGGACUUCUGGAGUCCAUUACAGAGCUACUCAACCCACGGCAGUAAUCCUCCCUCUGAGAAUACUACUGUAAUCCUCAAGUGCAGAGUAGAGACUACUGUGCGCAGCCCCCAGAGCUAUCUAACCACAGGAGCUUGAAUGACACACCUACCUCUCAAGAUUAUAGAGUCUGCCUCAAAAGCCACCACUAUGCCAGCUUCCUGUGUGGGUCUAUAGACCCCUUGGGAGAUCUACAUGAUAGUGCCUGAACGGAGACUGAGCAUUAGAAUGCAUCUUAAUUUCAAGCACAUCAGCUCCACUGCCAAUAUGGAUUCAGUGAUCCAAAGUGUUUAAAUCCAAGUCUGGGGUGCAAGUUGAUGCUCUUAAGUGGCUGUUGUGGACCUGGGGUUCCUGUGACAGUAAACUUGGGCUUGAGAAAGGAUCCAAAGAGUGCCUGGGCCUCAAGAAGACACUACCAAGGAAUGAAUGGCCCUCACUGAACUCCUGUGACAUAAUAAGAUAUCUUCACCAUUGAAUAAGGGAUUUUCCUUGAAAAUAUUAUGCUAAUUGAAAGAAACCAAAUUGUAGAAGGUCACAUAUUAUAUGAUUUCAUUUAUAUGAAAUGUCCAGAAUAGGCAAAUCUAUAGAGACAGAAAGUAGAUUCAUUCUUAUCAGAGGCUGAGGGGUAAGGUGGGGAAAUGGCUUUGACUGCUAGUGGGUGUAAGGUUUCUUUUGUGGGGAGAUGAAAAUGUUCUAGAAUUUGAGAUUGGUGAUGGAUGCAUGAUUUUAUCAAUGUACUAAAAGCCAUUGACUUGCACACAUUAAAUUAGUAAAUGGUAUGGUACAUAAAUUACAACUCAAUAAAGCUGUUUAAAAAAAAUACGGCAUUCUGUCUACUAAAAUAAAACAAAAGAAAUAAGUAAAACCAGACUUUCACAGUCAACAAGUCUGUCAUCAGAUAAUGCUGAUUAAUAGUAAAACUGUAAUACACUCUCCCUCUGAAGUUGGAGUGGGCUCUGCUGAAAAUAGAAAUCUCAGGCAUAUGAAGAGGUUGGUGUCAGUCUGUUCUUCGUGGAAUACAUUUAAUGAGAAUCUUUUGCUUCUUUCUCUAAAGAAAGUAGAACUGAAAGAGGAGGGUGUCAGUUUCUUAGCAGCUUGCAAAGCCCAAAUCAAUAUAAAAAGAGCUUCCAUUUCUCAAGUAUCUUCUAGGUAUUCAGUGAAUACCCAGGGUUAAGGCUAUUUACAUGCAUACUUGCUAAUCCUCACCACAACGCUGCAAGGUAGAUAUUCCUAUCUCUGUUUCACUUAGGAGAGAAAUUAUGUUCCCAAAGUUGCAGAGCAAGUAAAUAGCAGAACCAAGAUUAGACCCAGAUCAGUCUAACUCCAAGGCCUUUGUCCUCAGUAUCUCUCAACCCUCAAUUAGAAGAGUUAUCACGGCCCUGGCUGAACCUGCCUAGGUUAUUUAACAAAUUUUUAGCAUUUUGAAGCCAUUCCAUUCAGUUACAGCAGCAGUUACUGUUCAGAAAUUUACAUUCCAAAAACUGAAAUCAACAAGGCAAUGCUGCUUGUCUCAGCAUUGUAGUUUUGAUGAUUCUUAGAGAUGUGUUAUGUUAUUUAAGACAUUUUUAGUGGCUCUCACUGCCAAAGACUAUGGAUCUCAUCAUUGCCUGUGCCCACAAGGACCCUCUGUUCCCUCUGACCUCAGGCCUCUUCCCAUCCAACAAGCCUCUCUGCACUUCUAUGUUCCCCUACUGGAACAAAGUCAGAACUGGAUCUGCUGACGCCACAUAUAGGUAUGGAAUCUGAGAUUGCUCUAUUGGGAUCAUCAUUCUAGACACUUCCCUCUGCCAUGGCAGGCUUUUGCUUCCAUGCCAGAUUGACAUGAUGCUAUACUGAGUGAGGACAACUCUGAGAGACCCACAGUCUUCCCAAGCUAGACCCAGGGAAGCAGUUUGGGGGUUCCCCAAAUAUAUUUGGCUGUUUGCAUGGACCCAGGGGGAUUUAACCUCAAGGGCAAAAUAAGAACUCUCAUCUCAGAAUCCCUGCCACCCUCUCUGUGCCCUACUCUUCAUGACUGGAAGAAGUUUUCUCUUCCCUUAGGGGUGGGAAUGCCAAGUCAUAUCCUGCUUCUCUCAAUACCGUGCCUCAGAGUAGAACCCUUUGCUCAGACCCCUCAGGUCUGCUCUGGAUAUAUAAAGGGAAUCUUUGGAAACAUACAAAACCCUUUCUCUCUCAAUAAAUCCUGGCUUUCAAGGUGAAUUCCUCUUCAUGGACCCAAAGAGUCUAAUUUCAAAUGGAAAGCUCAGGAAUGAUCUCUUGUUCUGGACCAGUUCUACCCAGGCUCUGAUCUCUGUGUGUGAACUGUUUGUUACUGUCUGCAACAAUAAAGUAUAGGAAUUGAGAAUAUUUGGAAACUUUUAUAGAAA